rnacentral:misc_RNA from 1 species
ACAGUAACGAACAAUCCCUCCAAUAAACUCUAAUAAAUUUUCGACAAACGACCCACGAAAUUCGACGUUGUUCGAGUGCCAGGUACUUGGAGUGCACGUGAGACGUGUAUCGAGUGACCAUGGCAGGAAAGGGGGGCCGGUUGCUGAAGAUACGCUCACCUUGGACACGUGCGGGAUCAUUAUAAUGGCAUAUUUGGGAUACCGCGACCUACUGAGAUCCAGUUCGUGUUUCGUCGAUGGGAACCGGAAAGAUGGUCAAGGACGGUUUAUGUAAAAACGAACAGCGAACUAGGAGCGAAGAGACCAAAGCAAAGAAAAGGAUAGUUGAACGAUGUCCGGCUAAAUCGGCACAUUGCCCGAGACCCGUCAAGCGAGAACAAUUUGAUUCGAAGCUCGAGAAGCUGCCGCGCCGUGCACGCGGAUGGAAGUUCCAGUCUGCUGCGUUCUCAUCUUACAACGUUAGACUGCGCCGCGGCUGCAAUUGCGAUCUAUGCACCGGAAGUUUCGCGUAAUGAGCGCUGGCUUUGAGGGAACGACGCGUACCAUUAAUACUACGUGAACCAAAAGCGUCGUCCAUCUUUUUAACUGUCUGGCAAGAUGUCUUUACAUAUGUGCGAACUUCGCACGUAUACCAGUACCGAAGUAGUUAGAAAAAAGAUAGGAUGCAGUGUUGAACGAGACCGCGCUCUUCUACAUAGAGAAACAUCGGAUCAAGGCAUCAGUAGUCGGUAGAGGAGGCAGCCAGCGCGAAUUCGACCCGGCUAGAAAGCAGCGUACCACCGCCGCGACGCUGGAACGUCGUGUACGGCACACGCGAUCGCAAGAAGAACGAGGAAAGCGAAGAAGGAAGAGCCGGGACGAGAAAAGCCUAGGCGCGUGACAGCUGGGAUGUCGGGGGACGAGCGGCGGCAGUGUGAGUCGACGAGAAAGCGGCAUAGGCGUUGACGAUGGUGCGACGAGGACGAAGCGACCAGAACGGAGCAACAGAGUGCGACGCGUCCGGCCUCCGCGAUACCAGGAGAACAUAAACGCGGACGAGUCGCAGACGAAGGGCGUUCUAUCGUUCCUGGAAAGAGGGAAAAAGACGAGAGGCGGCGGCGGAGCGCGAAAGAAAGAACCCCGACUACCAGCCAGAAAGAGAACGCACAGGCCUCGACGAGGAACGAGCCGGUGCAAGAGCAAGACGCGACAACUCUGCCAGUCGAUCCCGAAAGAGGAACCGAGAAGAACGCCACGACUAGAAGCAACAAGUUGCUGCUGGGGUCGCAAAAUGCCACCCCAGCCGGGGAUGUGCGACCCCGGAGAAAUUCCACGCUGAUAGCCGCGAUACACGCGUCACGACACGUCCAACGAAAUUAGCAAACACACCAGAGGACCCGGGGACGCCACUGCGAAUGAUCGAACGACGCGUGGUCGCUUCUGCGCGAUUACCGCGCCACGUGCUUGCACUACGUAUGGGCUUCGUUCCACGGAUAGUUGGACAUUUGUGUAUGGCAUUCGUUGGAAAAUGAAAUUGAGAGAAGUAUGGGGAGUACGAUGAGGGUGAAAGGAAACAUUUUUGGCAAGGGGGUGUGGGUAUCUGCGUAAAUGUAUUUUACGAAUACAGUCAAAGGACGA